GUACAAGAGGAAAGCACAGAACAGCUGCAUGGAACUCCAGCCCAUCCAUUAAAAACCACCCCAGUCCUGGCAUCAGGGAUUUGUUGAGCUGAAGUCUCAAGAUUCAGCAGUCCCUCCAUGUACAGAAAAAUGAAGUAAAAAAAGAAACACCCUAGCAGCAAUUUAAUCUGUUCACUUUUAAGAAAAAACACAAAUUUCAAAGAAGCAACCCAAGCAGGCUACAUAAGGCACGUAUCAGAUGGAUUGGAAUAUUUCAGUCCAGCACAUCAGGAAAUCAUGAGUGAGAAGUGUUUUUUGGAAACAGGGGACGCUGAGCCACAAGGGCCACCGAAGAUUGAUUUCUGGUCAAGACAAG